GUACUUCCCAGGUGCUGUAGCAAGAGCCAUGUGAUGAGACAGGAAAGAGAGAGCUGUGAAGGAACUGUGUGGUGAGGAAAAGCACCAAGCAGAAAUGGACAAUCUGCUAAAAGAAAAAACAGCGAUGGAAAACAGCAAAAUCCCGAGUGUGCUGGAAGUGAUGGAAGACCAGACUCUGCACUGGCACCUGUGCAUUUAUUAUUAUGAUCAUAACUCUGCAAUUCUCUGGCAUUAAUGCAGUUGGUUAUCUGCCCAUCUCCACACAAAACAACUCUUCAGUUCAAGCUUGCAGACACUGUAAAAUACAUUGUAUCUGGGUGGGAGUCAAGCAGUCAUGAGAUUUACUCCUGGCCAUCAACUGGCUGCUGAUUUGGUUUUGGAUAUUUUCACCCAUCCAUCUGUAACUCUUUUUGGAAAACUGGCAUUUAACAUCUACUGACCUAACAGAGCUUCACUGACCUGGCAAAGUGCUACAUAAAUGUAUCACGUCAUUUAAGAAGAAAAGUUUUGGAUUAUGGACAUUAUUUGGAUUAUGGACAUUAUUUUGCAAUAAGGGACAGACUGGCUUGCACAUGUCGACCUGCCCACAACAGUUCCUGUGCCCUCACACCUUCCCACAAGGUGCUGCCUGCAUCCAGGAUGAAAUCUUAUGCUUCUUUUUGCCACCACGCUCUCUUCCUCCGCCCCUACCAUGGCAGUGCAGCUUGCAGCUUCCCUAACAAUGGGGAAUCACUAAUGCCUGAGUGUCCUGUUUGAAAAUAUGGGCAGCAUGAGGCCAAAUGGAAUUGGCCUCAGCAGCAGCACAGCUGGAACCCUGCAGAGAGACUGUUCAUCCCUGUCACACAGCACCAUGUCUGGUUUAAAACAGGAGCCCUGGAUCCUCCUGUCCCUCUCUAUGAAGCCCAGCCAUGCUGACUGAUAUAGCUCCAGUGUCUCCUGCAAGAAUUCAGUCCUUCACAGGUUGCCUUGCUGGGCACCUCCUCUACUUCACGGCUUAAUGAACUUUUCCAUCUCAAGCAUUCAUCCUCCCAAACUGCACCAAUCCAACGUGCCAGACCUCAGGAGGCCUGUUCUCCCAAAUGCUCACUAUUGCUGCAUCUCUUGCAGUUACUGAUAAACCAGAUAGUCUAUGAUUAACCUGCCAAUAUUAAUGUUUGUGAGUUGUUUUAAUCCCAUGCCAAGGCCUCUCCUUCAUACUUCUGCAAGCAACAUCUCAAAUUAUUUUGACUACUCACCCUGCCUAUCUUGCCUUCAGGAAAGAAGGAAAUUUUAACUAUUUUAUUUCUGUUGCUGUUUCACACCUAAAGACUGGGUUUAGGCAGCUACAAAGCGAAACUUUGCCAUCACUGUCAUAAUUUUGUCAUCAUGUUCUAAGUCUUGCAAAA